UUGUGUAGUCCUAAAAGUGAGGGUGGUAUGAGAAUCUGAUACCUUUACUCCUUUAAUCUGGCUAUGUUAGCUAAACAAUGUUGGAGGUUAAUUACGGAUUCAGACUCACUAGUCGUGAGAGUUUUAAAGGCUAAAUAUUAUCCUAAUGGUUCUCUCCUUGAGGCUACAACGAAGAAUGGUUCUUCUUUCACAUGUCAAAGUAUUCUUGGGAUUGGAGACUUUUGA
rnacentral:rRNA from 1 species